CGUCUUCCACGUUGUGGAAGGUUUGUUGUUUCGCUUCUUGCAAUAAAUCUUGCUACUGCUUGCCGUUUGGGUUCAGGCUGCUUUUAUGAGCUGUAACACUCACUGCAAAGGUGUGCAGCUUCACUGCUGAAGCCGUUGAGACCACGAAUCCACCGGGUGGAACGAACAACUCCAGACGUGCCACCUUAAGAGUUGUAACACUCACCUCGAACGUCUGCAGCUUCACUCCUGAAGCCAGCAAGACCACGAACCCACCAGAAGGAAGAAACUCCGAACAUAUCCUAAAGUCAGAAGGAACAAAUUCCGUAUACGCUGCCUUUAAGAACUGUUAACACUCACCGUGAGGCUCCGCGGCUUCAUUCUUGAAGUCAGUGGGACCAAGAACCCGCCAAUUCCGGACCCAGGAUUACAGGAUGGAGUGGAAUGGUAUGAUUAU
rnacentral:lncRNA from 10 species